CACGUAGGGCGCAAGCGUUGUCCGGAAUUAUUGGGCGUAAAGAGCUCGUAGGCGGUCUGUUACGUCUGUUGUGAAAACCCUGGGCUUAACCCUGGGCUUGCAGUGGAUACGGGCAGACUAGAGGCAGGUAGGGGAGAAUGGAAUUCCCGGUGUAGCGGUGAAAUGCGCAGAUAUCGGGAGGAACACCGGUGGCGAAGGCGGUUCUCUGGGCCUGACCUGACGCUGAGGAGCGAAAGCGUGGGGAGCGAACAGG
rnacentral:rRNA from 1 species